rnacentral:rRNA from 1 species
AAAUUGAAGAGUUUGAUCAUGGCUCAGAUUGAACGCUGGCGGCAGGCCUAACACAUGCAAGUCGAACGGUAACAGGAAGCAGCUUGCUGCUUCGCUGACGAGUGGCGGACGGGUGAGUAAUGUCUGGGAAACUGCCUGAUGGAGGGGGAUAACUACUGGAAACGGUAGCUAAUACCGCAUAACGUCGAAAGACCAAAGAGGGGGACCUUCGGGCCUCUUGCCAUCGGAUGUGCCCAGAUGGGAUUAGCUUGUUGGUGGGGUAAUGGCUCACCAAGGCGACGAUCCCUAGCUGGUCUGAGAGGAUGACCAGCCACACUGGAACUGAGACACGGUCCAGACUCCUACGGGAGGCAGCAGUGGGGAAUAUUGCACAAUGGGCGCAAGCCUGAUGCAGCCAUGCCGCGUGUAUGAAGAAGGCCUUCGGGUUGUAAAGUACUUUCAGCGGGGAGGAAGGGAGUAAAGUUAAUACCUUUGCUCAUUGACGUUACCCGCAGAAGAAGCACCGGCUAACUCCGUGCCAGCAGCCGCGGUAAUACGGAGGGUGCAAGCGUUAAUCGGAAUUACUGGGCGUAAAGCGCACGCAGGC